CCUACGGGUGGCAGCAGUGAGGAAUAUUGGUCAAUGGGCGUACGCCUGAACCAGCCAAGUCGCGUGAGGGAUGACUGCCCUACGGGUUGUAAACUUCUUUUGUCAGGGAGCAAUGCCGUCUACGUGUAGGCUUAUCGAGAGUACCUGAAGAAAAAGCAUCGGCUAACUCCGUGCCAUCAGCCGCGGUAAUACGGAGGAUGUGAGCGUUAUCCGGAUUUAUUGGGUUUAAAGGGUGCGUAGGCGGAAUGCCAAGUCAGCGGUAAAAUCGCGGGGCUCAACCGCGCAGCGCCGUUGAAACUGGCGUUCUUGAGUGGGCGAGAAGUAUGCGGAAUGCGUGGUGUAGCGGUGAAAUGCAUAGAUAUCACGCAGAACUCCGAUUGCGAAGGCAGCAUACCGGCGCCAAACUGACGCUGAAGCACGAAAGCGUGGGUAUCGAACAGGAUUAGAUACCCGAGUAGUC
rnacentral:rRNA from 1 species